AUUGAACGCUGGCGGCAUGCUUUACACAUGCAAGUCGGACGGCAGCACAGAGAAGCUUGCUUCUUGGGUGGCGAGUGGCGAACGGGUGAGUAACAUAUCGGAACGUACCGAGCAGUGGGGGAUAACUAAUCGAAAGAUUAGCUAAUACCGCAUAUUUUCUGAGGAAGAAAGCAGGGGACCAUUUGGCCUUGCGCUGUUUGAGCGGCCGAUAUCUGAUUAGCUAGUUGGUGGGGUAAAGGCCUACCAAGGCGACGAUCAGUAGCGGGUCUGAGAGGAUGAUCCGCCACACUGGGACUGAGACACGGCCCAGACUCCUACGGGAGGCAGCAGUGGGGAAUUUUGGACAAUGGGCGCAAGCCUGAUCCAGCCAUGCCGCGUGUCUGAAGAAGGCCUUCGGGUUGUAAAGGACUUUUGUCAGGGAAGAAAAGGGCGGGGUUAAUACCCCUGUCUGAUGACGGUACCUGAAGAAUAAGCACCGGCUAACUACGUGCCAGCAGCCGCGGUAAUACGUAGGGUGCGAGCGUUAAUCGGAAUUACUGGGCGUAAAGCGGGCGCAGACGGUUACUUAAGCAGGAUGUGAAAUCCCCGGGCUCAACCUGGGAACUGCGUUCUGAACUGGGUGACUAGAGUGUGUCAGAGGGAGGUAGAAUUCCACGUGUAGCAGUGAAAUGCGUAGAGAUGUGGAGGAAUACCGAUGGCGAAGGCAGCCUCCUGGGAUAACACUGACGUUCAUGCCCGAAAGCGUGGGUAGCAAACAGG
rnacentral:rRNA from 1 species